UUUGAUAGCCCGCUACUCCCGCUAUCCGCCCGGGUACUACGAGCACUAGCUUAAAACCCAAAGGACUUGGCGGUGCUUUAGAUCCACCUAGAGGAGCCUGUUCUAGAACCGAUAACCCCCGUUAAACCUCACCCUCUCUUGUUCUUUCCGCCUAUAUACCGCCGUCGUCAGCUUACCCUGUGAAGGGACUACAGUAAGCAAAACUAGUACAACUCAAAACGCCAGGUCGAGGUGUAGCAUAUGAGAGGGGAAGAAAUGGGCUACAUUCCCUACCACAGGGAACACGAACAAUGUAAUGAAACGUACAUUAAAAGGAGGAUUUAGCAGUAAGCAGAAAAUAGAGCG
rnacentral:rRNA from 1 species